rnacentral:rRNA from 1 species
AGUGAACGCUGGCGGCAUGCCUAACACAUGCAAGUCGAACGGCAGCACAGUACGAGCUUGCCCUUACGCGAGGCGAUUAGUGGCCGGUUGAGGAAUACAUCGGCAUCUUCUUUUUCGCGGGGGAUAACGUAGGGAAUCUCACGUUAAUACCGCCUACGCCCUACGGGUGAAAGCAGGGGUUUUUCGGGUCUUGUGCGCUCGCAUCAGACGAUGUUGGAUUAGCUAUUUGGCGGGGUCAAGGCCCACCCAGGCGGCGAUCCGUAGCUGGUCUGAGAGGAUGGUAGGCGACACGGGAACUGGGACACGGUCCAGACGCCUGCGAGAGGCAGCAGUGGGGAAUAUUGGACAAUAGGCGCAAGCCUGAUCCAGCCAUAGCGCGUGUGUUGAGAAGGCCUUCGGGUUGGAAAGCCCUUUUGUGGGGAAAGAAAAGCAGCAGGUUAAGACCCCGCGGUACUGACGGUACCCAAAGAAUAAGCACCGGCUAACUUCGUG